rnacentral:rRNA from 1 species
GAAAGUAAUAAAGGGCGUAUGGGGGAUGCCUAGGCUCUUGGAGGCGAAGAAAGACGUGGUAAGCUGCGAUAAGCCUCGGGGAUUUGCAAACGAGAAUUGAUCCGAGGAUUUCCGAAUGGGACAACCCGGCAGGCAGAAGGCCUGUCACACGAAAGUGGGCCAACCCUCUGAACUGAAACAUCUUAGUAGGAGGAGGAAAAGAAAGAAACAUCGAUUUCCAAAGUAGCGGCGAGCGAAAUGGAAGAAGCCCAAACCGAUAUUGUUACGGCAAUAUCGGGGUUGUAGGACUGCAAUAUUCAAUUAACAAUGAACUGGAAUGGUCUGGAAAGUCCAUCCAUAGAGAGUGAAAGGCUCGUACAGGUAAGUUUGUUAUGCGAAAGCAGUAUCCUGAGUAUGGCGGGACACGAGGAAUCCUGUCAGAAUCAGCCGGGACCACCCGGUAAGGCUAAAUACUCCCGAGAGACCGAUAGUGAACCAGUACCGUGAGGGAAAGGUGAAAAGAACCCCGAGCAGGGGAGUGAAAUAGAACCUGAAACCAUACGCUUACAACCGGUCGGAGCAGCUUCGUGCUGUGACGGCGUGCCUUUUGCAUAAUGAGCCUACGAGUUACUAAUCACUAGCGAGGUUAAGUGCAAGGAUGCACGGAGCCGAAGCGAAAGCGAGUCUGAACAGGGCGUUUAGUUAGUGGUUGUAGACGCGAAACCUUGCGAUCUACCCUUGAGCAGGUUGAAGGUUGGGUAAAACCAACUGGAGGACCGAACGAAUAAGCGUUGAAAAGCUUCUCGAUGACUUGAGGGUAGGGGUGAAAGGCUAAUCAAGCUGGGAAAUAGCUCGUACUCCCCGAAAUGCCUUUUGGGGCAGCGUUGUAAUAAAGAGUCUACUGGAGGUAGAGCUACUGAUUGGAUGCGGGGGCUUCACCGCCUACCAAAUCCUGACAAACUCCGAAUGCCAGUAGUAUGAUUUACAGCAGUGAGUGACUGGGUGCUAAUGUCCAGUCGCAAAAGAGGAACAACUCAGACCAGCAACUAAGGUCCCGAAGAAUAUGCUAAGUUGAUCUAACGAUGUUUUGUUGCAGAGACAGCUAGGAUGUUAGCUUGGAAGCAGCUAUUCAUUCAAAGAGUGCGUAACAGCUCACUAGUCGAGCGACAGAGCGUGGAUAAUAAACGGGCAUCAAGCAUAUCACCGAAGUUCUGGGCGCGAGAGCGCGGUAGGGGAGCAUUCCAUUCAGCGUCGAAGCAGUUUCGUGAGGAAUUGUGGAGCGUAUGGAAAAGCAAAUGUAGGCAUGAGUAACGAUAAUGCGGGAGAGUAACCCGCACACCGCAAGACCAAGGUUUCCUGAUCAACGCUAAUCGGAUCAGGGUUAGUCGGGUCCUAAGGGUAAGCCGAACGGCGAUCUCGAUGGAUAAUCGGUUAAUAUUCCGAUACUAACAUAUACCUCGAUGGAGAGACGAAGGAACGUAAGUGCCGCCACCUGACGGAAUAGGUGGUUAAAGGGCGUAGAUAUAGGGGCAGAUUAAGAGUUAGUCCUUGCUGAAACCUGACAGUACAGAGAGCCUACGGGCAAUUUGAUAGAGCACCCAAGUCGACUUCCGAGAAAAUCUUCUAAGUUAUAGUAUAUGUUACCCGUACCGUAAACCGACACAGGUGGUCGAGGAGAGUAUCCUAAGGUGCUCGAGUGAAUCACGGUUAAGGAACUAGGCAAAUUAACCCCGUAACUUCGGGAAAAGGGGUCCCAUCGCGAGGUGGGCGCAGCGAAGAGGUCCAGGCGACUGUUUAUCAAAAACACAGGGCUCUGCAAAUUCGAAAGAAGACGUAUAGGGCCUGACACCUGCCCGGUGCUGGAAGGUUAAGAGGGGAUGUCAUCGCAAGAGAAGCAUUGAAUCGAAGCCCCAGUAAACGGCGGCCGUAACUAUAACGGUCCUAAGGUAGCGAAAUUCCUUGUCGGGUAAGUUCCGACCUG